CGAGUUUGAUCCUGGCUCAGAUUGAACGCUGGCGGCAUGCUUUACACAUGCAAGUCGAACGGUAACAGGGAGCUUGCUCCGCUGACGAGUGGCGAACGGGUGAGUAAUGCAUCGGAACGUGCCGUGUAGUGGGGGAUAACGUAGCGAAAGUUACGCUAAUACCGCAUACGCCCCGAGGGGGAAAGUGGGGGACCGCAAGGCCUCACGCUAUACGAGCGGCCGAUGUCGGAUUAGCUAGUUGGUAGGGUAAAGGCCUACCAAGGCGACGAUCCGUAGCGGGUCUGAGAGGAUGAUCCGCCACACUGGGACUGAGACACGGCCCAGACUCCUACGGGAGGCAGCAGUGGGGAGUUUUGGACAAUGGGCGCAAGCCUGAUCCAGCCAUGCCGCGUGAGUGAAGAAGGCCUUCGGGUUGUAAAGCUCUUUCAGACGGAAAGAAAUCGGUGCGUUUAAUACAUGCACUGGAUGACGGUACCGUAAGAAGAAGCACCGGCUAACUACGUG
rnacentral:rRNA from 1 species